rnacentral:lncRNA from 1 species
GAAUAACUUCCUAGAUGUGAUGACACUUGAGUUAUGCCUUAAUAGCUAAGGAUUAGGCAGAGAGAAGAGAAGAUACCAAGGGAGGGUUGCCCAGGGAGAUAGAAUGUCAUCGGAAUGCCCAUAGACAUCUAAAGCAGUGCAGUGAUUUGGAGGAAAUUAAUGUUUCUGAAAUUGUUGGAUCAUAAAGUUCAAGGGGCAAAAUAUUAGAACUUGAAGCUGGAACAAUAAGCAAGGGUCAAAUGACAGCGAUCCAGUUAGACCAUGUUGAAGACCUCAGAUUGUAUCCUUUCAGUGAUGGGAACAUCGAAACAUUUCAUCUCUCUGUUGCCCUUUCUUUGCAAAUGGGACAGACUCAGGGCAUUCAGAAUAGAAUGUUCCGCUGAGUUGUUGUGAAAACUACAGUGUAAGGAGAAGCAUGAAAAAUGCUGCAUAUGCCAUGAAACAAAGAAGCCAAGCUUGAAAUCAGAAUCUCCAACAAACCCCCAAUCAAUUGUGGCAUCCUUAGCUUGGCCGUUGAACAGCUAAGGAGAGGGAAUCACUCCAAGGGUAUUUUUUUUUUUUCUUGAGAUUUUGAAAGCAGUUUGAAUAUGUCAUCCCACUGCCUUUGGCCUUCAUAGCUUCUGGCCCAGGAAAGGGAAGAAUUACAUGAAGACACAUGGAGAGGGGAGCCAAGGGGAGAGGUUCAGAAGAAACAAAGCCUGCUGAUAUCUUGAUCUUGGGGUCUAACCUCCAGAACGGUGAUGAAAUGUCUGUUAUUUAAGCCAUUCGGUCUGUGGUAUUGGUGACAACAGUCUAAGCAGACUAAUGCAAGCCCUGACACAGACUUUAUGCAAUUUAAUUCUCUUUUCUCAGUCAUGAUUUUCUCCUCUGUAAUAAGCUCUAAUUAUCAGUGAUGAAAAUUAAAUGUGUAAAUGUGUACAUUAUUGUUUAAAGACAAGUAAAGAAAACCAACACCCUUGUUUUUGUUUAACGGAUCUACCUAUUUUUAGGAAAUGUUUAAGCAGAUGUGGAUUUUUUUUUUAACACAAUAAAAUACUAUCCUUUUCUCAGCUCUUUUAAAAAAUACAUACCUAUUUUCUGAGAAGACAUUUUCACUUGGUUGAAUGAUGUUUAAUCCAGCUUUGCAAAAUAGCUCUUCACCCAGAAUAUGGCUGGUGGUUUGUGCAAAUAGCAAAGAACACUUGAUUUAUUUUACUACCUUAGUUGGAAAACAAAUUUAGUUAGUUACUUUACCUUUUGUUGUGUUGAUUUUAACCAUUAUGCUUUGACUCAUAGUUUUUCUUAUAAGGCACAUUGGGUAAAGAAAGUAGCAUAGAGUUGAAUCCCACCCUCCCCUGUUACUAAAUGGCUUUGUUAUCUUGGGUUAGCUAACUGGCUUUUCUGAGUUUGUUAGCUACUUUGUAAUAUGACAUUAAU